rnacentral:lncRNA from 1 species
CCUAGCUUCGCCAAGGUUUGGGGGAUUUGGGAGGGAUUUGGGGUUUUUGGGAUUUUUGGGGGUUUUGGGGAUUUUUCGGGAUUUUUUGGUGAUUUUUUGGGGAUUUUUGGGGGGAAUUUUGGGGUUUUUUGGGGGGGGUUUUAUUGGGUUUUUAAUUGGAUUUUUAUUGGGUUUAUUCCGGAUUUUUUGGGAUUUUUUUUUUGGUUUUUGGGGGAAUUUUCUGUGGUUUUUUUGGGCUUGAUUUGGGUUUUUUUGGGUUUUAUUUGGGUUUUUAAUUGGGAUUUUUUAUUGGGGUUUUUGGGGUUUUUUUGGGUUUUAUUUUGUGCCCCACAACCUCUCCUCCAACCCCUGCUUCACCAAGGAUUGGGGGGAUUUGGGGGGGAUUUGGGGUUUUGGGAGGUUUUGGGGAUUUUUCGGGAUUUUUUGGGGAUUUUUUUGGGAUUUUGGGCGGAUUUAUUUGGGUUUGCAACUGGGUUUUUAUUGGGUUUUUAUUGGGUUUUUGAUUGGGUUUUAAUUGGGUUUUUGAUUGGGUUUUAAUUGGGUUUUUAUUGGGUUUUUAUUGGGUUUUUGAUUGGGUUUUUAUUGGGUUUUUGAUUGGGUUUUAAUUGGGUUUUUAAUUGGGUUUUUAUUGGGUUUUUGAUUGGGUUUUAAUUGGGGUUUUAAUUGGGUUUUAAUUGGGUUUUUAAUUGGGUUUUGAUUGGGUUUUUAAUUGGGUUUUUAAUUGGGUUUUAAUUGGGUUUUUAAUUGGGUUUUAAUUGGGUUUUGAUUGGGUUUUUAUUGGGGUUUUGGGGGGGUUUUGGGUUUUUUAAAUUUUUUGGGUGGUUAAUUUUCGGUUUUUAUUGGGUUUUUCUUUUUGUUUUUUGGGGUUUUUGGAGGUUUUUUUGUUUUUUUUUUUGUUUUUUAUUGGGUUUUUAUUGGGGUUUUAAUUGGAUUUUUAUUGGGUUUUUUCCGGAUUUUUUGGGAUUUUUUUUUGUCUUUGGGGGGAAUUUUUUGUGGUUUUUUUGGGCUUUAUUUGGGGGUUUUUUUGGGUUUUAUUUGGGUUUUUAGUUGGGAUUUUUUAUUGGGGUUUUUGGGGUUUUUUGGGAUUAUUUUGGGAUUUUUUUGGGUUUUAUUAAGUUUUUUAAUUGGGAUUUUUUAUUGGGGUUUUUGGGGUUUUUUUGGGGUUUUAUUCUGUGCCCCACAACCUCUCCUCCAACCCCUGCUUCGCCAAGGUUUGGGGGAUUUUGGGGGGAUUUGGGGUUUUUGGGGAUUUUGGGUCCAAAUUUGGGGAUUUUGGGGUCUCAAUUUGGGGAUUUUGGGGUCACAAUUUGGGGGAUUUUGGGGUCACAAUUUGGAGAUUUUGGGGUCUCAAUUUGGGAGACUUUUUGCGUCUGAAUGUGGGGAUUUUUGGGGUCCCAUUUAGAGGAUUUUGGGGUCCCAAUUUGGGGUUUUUUGGGGUCUCAAUUUGGGGUCUUCGGGUCCAAAUUUGGGGAUUUUGGGGUCCCAUUUAGCGGAUUUUGGGGUCCCAAUUUGGGGAUUUUGGGGUCCCAAUUUGGGGAAUUUGGGGUCUCAAUUUUGGGGUUUUGGGGCCUCAAUUUAUGGAUUUUUGGGGUCUCAAUUUAGGGAUUUUGAGGGUCUCAAUUUGUGGAUUUUUGGGGUCUCAAUUUGUGGAUUUUGGGGUCCCAUUUGUGUUUUUUGGGGUCCCCAAUCUGUUUUUUCCCCUCUCCAGGUGCUGAAGGACCCCCCAAACCCCAAUCCAAGGGGAGCCUCACCUGGGGUCCCUCUCUGUGGGGUUUUGGGGGGGUCCGAGACUUUUUGGGGUCUGAAUUUGGGGAUUUUGGGGUCUCAUUUGGGGGAUUUUUGGGGUCCCAUUUUGGCGAUGUUAGGGUCUCAACUUGGGGAUUUUUGGGUCUCAGUUUGGGGAUUUUAGGGUCUCAUUCCUGGAGUUUUUGGGGUCUCAAUUUGUGGAUUUUGGGUUCCAAAUUUGGAGGAUUUGGGGGUCUCAAUUUAGGGAUUUUUGGGUCUCAAUUUGUGGAUUUUGGGGGUCUCAAUUUGUGGAUUUUGGGGGUCUCAAUUUGGGGAUUUUGGGGCGUCAAUUUGGGGAUUUUGGGGUCUCAAUUUCAGGCUUUUGGGGCGUCAAUUUAGGGAUUAUGGGGUCUCAAUUUGUGGAUUUUUGGGGUCUCAAUUUGUGGAUUUUGGGGUCCCAUUUGUGUUUUUUGGGGUCCCCAAUCUGUUUUUUCCCCUCUCCAGGUGCUGAAGGACCCCUCCAAGCCCCAGUCCAAGGGGAAUUUCUGGACCGUGGACGUCUCUCGGAUCCCCCCGGCCGCUCUCAAGCUGCAGAACACGGCGGUGGCUCGCGGCGGCCUCACCCCCUUCGU